AGUGAACGCUGGCGGUAGGCCUAACACAUGCAAGUCGAACGGCAGCACAGUAAGAGCUUGCUCUUACGGGUGGCGAGUGGCGGACGGGUGAGGAAUACAUCGGAAUCUACUUUUUCGUGGGGGAGAACGUAGGGAAACUUACGCUAAUACCGCAUACGACCUACGGGUGAAAGCAUGGGAUCUUCGGACCUUGCGCGAUUGAAGGAGCCGAUGUCGGAUUAGCUAGUUGGCGGGGUAAAGGCCCACCAAGGCGACGAUCCGUAGCUGGUCUGAGAGGAUGAUCAGCCACACUGGAACUGAGACACGGUCCAGACUCCUACGGGAGGCAGCAGUGGGGAAUAUUGGACAAUGGGCGCAAGCCUGAUCCAGCCAUACCGCGUGGGUGAAGAAGGCCUUCGGGUUGUAAAGCCCUUUUGUUGGGAAAGAAAAGCAGCAGGUUAAUACCCCGCUGUUCUGACGGUACCCAAAGAAUAAGCACCGGCUAACUUCGUG
rnacentral:rRNA from 1 species